UACAGAGGGUGCGAGCGUUAAUCGGAAUUACUGGGCGUAAAGUGUGCGCAGGUGGCCGCGCAAGUCGAGUGUGAAAUCCCCGGGCUUAACUUGGGAAUUGCGCUCGAAACUACGUGGCUCGAGUAUGGCAGAGGAAGGUGGAAUUCCACGUGUAGCGGUGAAAUGCGUAGAGAUGUGGAGGAACACCGAUGGCGAAGGCAGCCUUCUGGGCCAAUACUGACGCUCAUGCACGAAAGCGUGGGGAGCAAACAGG
rnacentral:rRNA from 1 species